CAUUUUCAAAAGACCAUAGGUCAGUUAUAUACAUGUACAGAUAUAGAAUACGCAUGAAACCCUUAUACAAUAGGAUAAAUACGAAAGGUUACAUCACUAUAUAUAUAAUACUCUAACACUUUCUUCUAUAGUAAUUCAGUAGAAAUAGCCUGGCCAUAGAAACAACAAAUGGAAAAAAAAAACUCGAUAGUUGGGAACGGGCGGAGAAGCAGUGUUGCCUAAAUGCAGUUUAAUUUGCAGAGUAUCCUCUAUCACCUGCUACUUUGGGGACGUUGGAUUUUCGUGUAUCUCAGCCUAACUGUCCCAAUUGCACCCAUUGUGCUGGCUGCAAUAACAUUGACUCUCGAGAAGAGACAUUGUAGGUUGUGAGGUGCCUUUUGAAUACUAUUUUUCACGCUACACGGGGUAGGAGAUAUAUACUGGUGUGGACUCGUAUCGGUUUCCUUGGUCCUAUUUCCAUUCAAGUUGUUUCUCCUGAUUUCCUCGUGCCUCCUUUUCCUAUAUAAAUACAAACUGAUACGGUAGUGAUUAACUGGUUGCUACGUUGAGUAUGAAUAAUGGUGGUAUACUAACUUGGACACUAGUUCUCUUUUGCUUUUGUUGCCAAUUGUGAGCUUUCUGUAUGUUCGGACUUUAUAUAGUGGACGCACAUCUUGUGAGAGCUAGCUCCAAUAAUAAAAGGCACGUGAAUCCAUUUAUCUAAAGCCAAGAAGCAAGAUAGGACCACUGCAACUAGUGAAAAUUUACAUUUAGUCUCAGCAAUUACCGAACAUGUUAGCUAUGCCUGCAGCUUCAUACAUGCUCGACCGGACGCAAAUGAAUGAAGUUGUUGGGUCCAAAAUUAAGGACAGAAAUAUAGACCUAUAGUCCUACAUAGUACUGUAAUGAUAUGAUCUUCUACCCUUACAGAAUCUUUCUUAACUGUACACUAGGAAGCAUUAUCUAUCGUUGCUUUGGAGUUUGGACUUGGCUUUGAUCUCAGCAUCUUGUGGUACUCACCCUUUUUCCUACAUGCAUUUUCAUGUUUGCUUACUAGCUCCCAGAUCAAUCCAUUCGAUGAUAUCUUAACCUUUGCUUGGAUCUAGGAUUUUAUGUUAGCUUUGAUGCGGUAAAUGUUUUCCAGAAUAAAAAACAUAACAUGUCAACGUACAUGUAUAAACAGUAAAAUCAUAAAUAAGCUCAUCAAUUAUUCAACUACAUCAAAUCAAUAUCUCUAUUUAUUGAUCACCGACGAGUGGAUGUACUCUUAAAUAUAUGUUUGUUUAGUAUAUAAGAGUACAAAGUUGUUCAAACAUAUAUUUAAAAGGUAAAAAAGUACAGAGUUGAGCAGGAUAGGCUUGCAUGAUGUAAUGUUGCAUGAUAGUUUCAGAUGGUGUUUCAUACUAUUGCAUGAUGCAUUAGUAAUUUCCUCUUUGAAGGGGUGCGGCGUUUUGGCUCUCGGGUGCAUCUGCACCCGGGCCGACGGAAAAAAUCAAAACAAAUACAAAAAAAUU
rnacentral:lncRNA from 1 species